UGGGGAAUAUUGGACAAUGGGGGAAACCCUGAUCCAGCGACGCCGCGUGUGUGAAGAAGGCCUGCGGGUUGUAAAGCACUUUCGGUGGGAACGAAAUAUGCCGGGCUAAUACCCCGGUAGGCUGACGUUACUCAAUGAAGAAGCACCGGCUAACUCUGUGCCAGCAGCCGCGGUAAUACGUAGGUGGCAAGCGUUGUCCGGAUUUAUUGGGUUUAAAGGGUGCGUAGGCGGUUCCAUAAGUCAGUGGUGAAAUACAAUAGCUUAACUAUUGAGGUGCCAUUGAUACUGCGGAACUUGAGUACAGACGAGGUAGGUGGAAUUGACGGUGUAGCGGUGAAAUGCGUAGAUAUCAAGAGGAACACCUGAGGUGAAGACGGGUUGCUGGGCUGACACUGACGCUGAGGCGCGAAAGCCAGGGGAGCAAACGGGAUUAGAUACCCCUGUAGUCCCUGAGCGGGCUGGCAAGGCGCAU
rnacentral:rRNA from 1 species